GAUAAUGUCUAUUGAGAUACGGGUGGGUUUACACAAAGGAUUUAAUUCUCUUUAAUGAUGCCGCUUUUAAAAACUUUUUGUUUUUUUUAAGUAAAAUGGCUUAGUGCGUCGUUAUAUGUUGGGGCUUAAAGCAAAAUGCAAGUAAUAUUUUGCAUAAAAUUAAGAAUUUCAGCAUCUCAUAUAGUGAUAUUAAACAUUCAUAACUAACAUCCCGCCGCAACGCACAGGUUAACGUUAACUCGUUAAGGUAACAAAAAACAAACAUAUCUUAACUACUCAACUAACUACAAUAUAUUCCAAACAAGUAAUAAAUAUAUUAAUUAUAAGUUGGUCUUUUUCUAGUUUUUUUUAAUAGCGACUUUCUUGUGUCUAACCACCGUACUCCCCAAAUUGAAAAUCUUGUUGCUCCACUUCGGUCAGACUAUGUUGUCUUAACCAGGCCCAUGCUGGCUUUAAAGUUUGGCUUAGCGUUCCCCCGGGAGACCAUACCGCCGACUGCUACUUGAUGGCCGUUGUGCCACCACAAGAGCAGAACUCUCUGUCGUAACACACGGUGGGACGAAAACCCGGGUGGACUCAGGAUUCGAACCAAAAACCACUAGUACAAAAUUGAGCAAAUAAUGCGGAUGACAAAACUAAAAGAUGCGGUUAAAUGGUUAAACCGCAUCUUUUGCCCUCCCCUAAAACUAAAAAGUACAUCCUUUGUCUACCUAAAACGAAAAAGUGCGGUUAAAUGUAUGACCGCAUCUUUUAUCCCCCUAUAUUUCCCCCCAAAAAUUUCAAUUAGUUUUCGCUUCCCUCCAUCGACCUAAUAACCCCCAAAACCCGGCCUCUAUCUAUCCUCAUAACUCCUCAUUUUUCAUCUACCACACACUACAACCCUCGCUUCAGAUCAAAUCCUCUCAAUCUUCACCCUAAUCUUGUAUUGUUUCUAUCGGUUUACCCAACAAAUAAGCUGAUCUAGGGUUUGUUUGUGUUCAAUUUCACCAACACAUAUACUUUUAUGCUUUUCAAUCAAAGGAUCUCUCACAAGAAACCAAUGAUAACAUCCGUGAAUCGUUCAAUUAUUCGUUUGGUCUUCCGGUAUCUACACAUACACUUGAGUUAAAGCUUCGAUGUUCGAUGUUUUGAAGAAACACAACGAUAACUUCGCGAACAGUACAUGUAUUUUGAAAUCCAAAUUGAAUGAGAAAGGUGAAUUCAUCGAGCGUGUUAGGGUUUGUUUUUAAUAUAUCAUAUUACAGUUUUCUCCUGGUUUCACUUGCUUGUUUUCUUCAGAGGUGAUCGUACCCUAUUGUAAGGUAUCCCACUCAGAUCUAUCAAGACAUGUGGCGACCAACACUUCUUCAUAUGAUUAUCCAAUCGUUGAUGUCUGCUUCAGAUUCAAAUCUUUCAAAUAACUUAAGAGGUGAUUAUCUCCUUGUUAUACAUAUUUUGAAACUUUUAUGGUUUACUGUUUACAUAAAGACUUUUAUUAAAACUUUCUUGGUGCUAGUGUUACUACCCAUGUAAUGUAGGUGGGAAUGGCUUAACCGAAGGUUAUCAUCACAAUGGGCUGCGCUAAGAAGCCAAUGGAUGAUGUUUUACAGAAGUGUUUGUGUUGGCCCAGCUCCCUGUUAAAUUAAUCCCAGAAUAGAAAAUAAUUGAUAAACAGAGAUUUUCACAAAACAAAAUGGAUAAACACUUUUAUAUAUGUAUAUAUAUUUAGUGAAGCUUUGUAAAUCCUUCUUAUUAUGAUCUUCUAUAAGUAAUUGUUUUUUUAUGCUUGAUUGACAGUGUGUCAAAAAGGAUGGAGCAAAUUAUGGAUCACUCUAUGUUCCUUUGUUGCAGAAACUCAGUAAACACAGGCAAAUAUACUAUUUCAUUCACAUAUAGUAUUACUAGUUAGCCCAUUAACAUAUUUCCUCUUAUAGUUGAACAAUAAUUUGAAGUCGUUCAAAAUGUUUUAGCUUGAGCCUGUAGGUUAAGAAGUCACUUGUUGGCUUACACUUUUAAUCUCUUAUACAUCUAUACACUUGCAUAUCUUUUUUUAAGCUUCAGUGGUUUAUGAAAUGGAAUGUUGUGUUUUGUUAGGAAAUUUAUACGGUUCUAGUUGCAAGUAUAAACUGAAGAUGUUGGUUUCGGUUGCAAGUAUGAAGACUUGGGUUCGGAAGGUUAUUGUAUAUCGUUUUCAUCUUUAAACAUUAACGUAUUUGUGGUACUUUGAAACUUUUGUAAUUAUUUGUGUUACUUUAAAACC